UACGUAGGUGGCGAGCGUUGUCCGGAUUUACUGGGCGUAAAGCGCGCGCAGGCGGCAGUCUAAGUCCUCUGUGAAAUCACCCGGCUCAACUGGGUGGCUGCGGAGGAGACUGGGCAGCUUGAGGGGCCUAGAGGCCGGUGGAACUCCCGGUGUAGUGGUGAAAUGCGUAGAGAUCGGGAGGAACACCAGUGGCGAAGGCGGCCCUCUGGGCCGGGCCUGACGCUGAGACGCGAGGGCGUGGGGAGCAAACAGG
rnacentral:rRNA from 1 species